CUGAGAAACUGAAGAUAGUAAGGAAGAUCAUGGGCAGUAUGCAGGGCCACCUCUUUCAGACGACUAGUUAUCAAUAUUCUACUGCCUCUAUUGUUGUCGGGAAAAGCAUCUUGCACCUCAUCCCAAUCUUGCCUUUUCCACAGGUCAUCUACCACCACAAGAUACCUUCUACUCUCCAACUUGUUCCGCACUAGUUUCUUCAGCUCCUCCUCACUCAAGUUACUACUAGCUCGACUACUUUUUUUACCUUUCUUCUUGUCUUUGCAUUGUUGAUCAAAAUUUGGCAUCAAAUGCUUAAGAAGGCCAAGCAAAAGCUCCCUAACUCUGCACUCGUUUGACACAUAAACCCACGCUCGACAUUCGAAGUGUUGCUUCACCUCGCUGUUGUUAUAGACCUUCCGGGCAAGGGUGGUCUUGCCCAAUCCCCCCAUGCCAAUGAUAGAGACAGCUUUACGAUUUGAACCACCUUCCAAUAGUCGUUUGAUGACAACGUUGGAGUCAUGGACAAAGCCAACCACACCUUCUUCCUCCACAUUUUUUCUUAGCUUGUGCAGUGAUUGCGCCCUUUUCUUCUCCUCCUCCUCUUUUGCUGCGGAUUGAUUAUUGAUUUCUUCGAAAGCAUCAUAUUUGUCCUUAUUUUCGCGUAUUUCGUUGAGGGUGGUUUUUAUCUUGUUUACUUUGUCGGCUACGUCAUGGAGCAACCUUGCUUGGGCAAAGCCAUGGAGCAUCCUCCCCAGCAUGGUUCUCCUUUUGUAAAUGGCAACUUUGGCUACGAAAGUGUCGAUGACAUCCUCAGCUAGGUGGGCCACAUCUCUGAUUUGAUUCACCACUGUAUUAUCAAUUCCCUUCUUGCUUUUUGAGGUAUUGAGGAGGUCAUUGAUCAUCUGAAGCUCGUUCUGGAGGGACUGGAUCCUAUCCUCCACACCAUACAGCAAGUGAGCUUCGCGUGCCACAAGCUCAGAUAAAUGAUCCAAAACAAAGGUAACUACACUGUCUGCCAUUACAGCAAGGACGUGUAUGUAGUGUUUGAUCUGUGCUUGGAUGAUGUGUUUAUGGUUGGUGAUGGAAGAAGAGGAACCGGGUUUUAAAGAGACACAGGAGAAAGCAAUGGAUUGUAGCUUGCAACCAGACACUAAAGGAUAUCCAAAUAUAUAUUAUCAAUGUCUCUGCAAUAAAUAAUUUAAAAAGACUUUGGUUCAAGAAUUCUUGUUUUAUAUUUUUCUAUAGAUUUUGCGUGAACCAUGAAUAAUGAAAGUCUCUGCAAUAAAUAAUUUAAAAAGACUUGGGUUCAAGAAUUCUUGUUUUUAUAUUUUUCCAUUGAUUUUUCGUCAACAAUGAAUAGUGUUUAACUGAUUUAAGUACACAUUGCACCUUCCUGGUAUGUGCACUGCACCUUCUACUCUAUGUGUAAAUCAUUGAUUUGUUUUUCCACAUUUUGUGACUACUUAAUUCAUCUACCCACAAUUUUUCAACUUUAUCGUCCAAACCAAUCAAAAUUGCAGAGACACAAUAAAAAAAAAAAAUCAAAAAAAAAAAUACAAAAAAAAAAAUACAAAAAAAUAAAUAAAAAAAUAAAUAAAUAAAUAUAUAUAUAUAUAUAUAUAUAUAUAUAUAUAUAUAUANNNNNNNNNNNNNNNNNNNNNNNNNNNNNNNNNNNNNNNNNNNNNNNNNNNNNNNNNNNNNNNNNNNNNNNNNNNNNNNNNNNNNNNNNNNNNNNNNNNNACUUUAAAUAUGUAUUGCUUGGUGGUUGGAUGAAAUAGACUAAAUAUAUAUCCUAGCAAUUUCUCGUCACUCGUGAUCUUAUAUUCACAAAUAACACAUAAAAACUUAUCAAUAUAUUAAAUAUGUUAAAAAAAUUAUUUUGGUUAGUUAAUAAGGUCAACUGAAGUUUAAAAAUAAUAAUUUGUCCAUAAAAGGUACGUAUAUAGUAUUCGAUUAAAAUAAAUUCUUAUAAUAUUCAAUCAAGAUUAUAUGAAUUAUUUUUAAGAAUGAAAUAAAAUCACAUGUUUGUUCGAUAAAUAAAAAUAAUGUUUUUUAAAAAAAAUUUAGUUUGUAUACACAUUAUUAAAUCAACACUUUGUUUCUCCUGAUAUUUUUUAAUUUUUAAACAUUUUUUUUUUAAAUAUGUAACACCCAAAUUUUUUUAGAAAUAAAAGUCUUUGAAGAGAGAGUUUGUGUAGCAAAUAGUUAUUUAUACAAGGUUAAAAUUAUCCAAAAGUUUUAUUUACAAAGCAAACCUAAAGUGAGGUAUUGACCCUACACAUGUUAAGAUGCAUCUCCAAACACAUGAAAACAUUACUUAUAAAUCUCAUCAAGCAAGCUCAAGCUCUGACUCACAAGUCACUUAUGGAAUGUUUUCUUAUUAGCUAAAAAUCUCAUAUAUGAAGGCUAAAAGGCAUAAAAAGAAAAAGAAGCACAAAGAAGAGAAGGUGAGGACACUUAUCCAAUGGAGAUAUCAUCCAUGACUUCCUCCUCCACUUCGUCUUCAUCUUUCUCUUUAUAUGUUAAAUCCCCUUUUGUUCAGAAUAUAUGUAGUCAUCAAACUCUCUUAUAUAUUUUGAUUAUGUUUUUAUAUUGUGUUAUAUUACUAUUCGACAUUAUUUUUAACUUUUAUGUUUAUUGUGAAUCAACCAUAAAUUGGUUGAAGUAAAAGGUUGGAAAACUCUCAUAAACUUUUGACCUAAGAUACAAUCAAUAAAUCGUUUAUCUGAAAAUAGAGAAUAACAUAUUGAUAAUCUUUUAAAUCCUUUAUGCAAGUUUAUUUUAUUGAGUUGAAAGAGAAAUGUAAUUCAAUAGAGUAUACUUAAGGUUUGUUCUAUGAGAUUAGAGAAUAACUUUUCAUUUUAAGGAUUGAUGAUAACAAAGAAGAGGCAAAUCUUUAUUUUUGAGCUUAAUGAAACAAGAGAGUGAGGUGAUGAAGUCUAAUUCCAACAAUAUUCAUACCAUAUAUUUAUAUCAAACUAGCUUUCUCAUUUCAAAAAUACAAAAAAUAUUGUAGUGUUUACUUUUAACAUCUCUUUUAAGUUUUUGUUAUUUGAUCUCACUUCAUGUUUUAUUAUUUAUUUUAUGCCUAAUAGUAUAAAAUUAGUGUAGUUCUUAUCAUUACACGAAGUCUCAAUUGAUUCGACACUCUAACUAUCGAUAAGAAUGGUAAAUUACCAAAAAGUCAACAACACAUACUAAGCAUUUCAUAUAAGAAACUAGCAUAAUUCUCGUAUAAGCAUCUUACAUUUUGACUCAAUGACAACGAGUUAUGUUUAAAGCAUCCAGAGUAUGAGACUCUCAUUCAAUAUCUUAUCACUUGAUGUGUCUUAGUCUAUUCACUUGAUGUGUCUUAGUGUAUGUGACUUAGAUACUAAGUGAAGUCAUUAAUCUUUUUAUAAAUUCAAGUAGUUAAUACAUCAUCUCAAACUAUAAAACCAAGAAUAUUCCAAAUUCAAGUAUUUAUUAUUAUAUUUUUUAUGUUGUACAUUCUAUUAUUCAUAUGAUGCCAUAUUGUAAAAUAAUUUUUAUAUAUUGUAUUGAUUUGUUUACCUAUCCAGCUUUGUUUUAAAAAUUAUUAAAACACUUAUAGCUAUUACUAAAAAAAACAAAAAUUCAAUGAGAUUUUCAUUAAGAUAGUCUUUUUUUUUCUUACAACUUUAAUUGAUUACAUAUUUAUUUAUUUUUAGUGGUUUCUUUCAAAUAGUGUAUUGUAUUUUUAGUGGUAGGCAAAAUGUCCACUUAGUUAAAACAAGUCUUCACUCAAACUUUGAUACAUUUGAAACAUUGCAAUGGUAGGCAAAAUGUCGAUUUAGCUAAAACAAGUCUUCACUUAGAUUUGAGGGUUGUGCAGUGGUAGACAGAAUGCCGACCUGGUUAAAACAAGUCAUCAAUUAGAUUUACGGAACAGUGUAGUGAUAGAUAGAAUGGUGACCUGGUUAUAACAUAUCUUCACUUAGACUUGGAAAGUUGUGGAGUGUUAUGGUUCAAGUCCGAUCUCUUUAACUCAAAUUUUAGUAAUAUUUUUAAUAGGUAGUUGAUUGACUUGUAAGAGUAAGAUACGAAAUUAAACCCAUUUAAUAGAUGAAUCUCGAUAUUAUAGAAGAAUUUAAACCACUUUAAUAUGAAUCAUUAUAUAUAUUGUUAUAUUAAAAAUAUGUAAUUAGUAAUAAAUAAAAUGAAUAGAGACUUAAAAUCAUAAUGAAGGGUGAGAAUAAACAAAUAUGAUAUUAAAGGAUUAAAAGGGAUGGUGACAAAGGAAAGAAGAUAUAUUGAAGGUUCUGCUUAGGAUCUCCUUUCUUCUUGCCUAGAACACAUCUCAAUAAAUAUAAUUACCACUUUCAUUAAAUCAAAUACUUUUCUUGGACAUAGAUUUAAUUAUUCCAUCACAACCUUGAUUAUAUUUUUUUUUCUUUAUGUAAUUUUGUUGAAAAGGUAUAUUGUAUGUUAUAAAAUGCAAUUCUCAAACUCAUUGAAUUAAUACAUUUAUCACUUUUACAUCUUUUCGAUAAUUAUUUUUUAUCCUAAUCCAAUUUUUGUUAUUUGGUAUUCUAAUUUGAUAUUCACAAAUGUUUUUUUAUAUUUUAAAUUUAUAAACGAAGAUGUGUAUCUUUCAUAAAAAAAAUAAUUAAUAUUUAAAACCCUAAAAAAUUAAUUUAUACUUCUUACAUAUGAGAAUGGAAGAUGAAGAAUUUUCAAUUUAGAAAUAAAAAUGAGGAUAGUAAAACUCGCAACUAUCUCACCUUAUUUCUAGUAUGCUAAGGAAUUAAUUUACUAUUUUUUUAUUUAAAUUAUUUUUUAAAAUCUUUUAAUUCUUUAAAAAUAAUUUUAUCUAAAAAUAUUAAAAGAUUGAGAUAUUAUUAGUAAUGUAAUAUGAUUUUACAAUUUCUACACCACAUACAAAAUACAUCCAUAAAAUAAAUAACAAACUAUUCACUAUAAUAAAUUUCUUCGGUUUCACUAGUAUAAUUCAUAUUCAGAAUAGCUAAAUCUAUGGAAUCCAACGAAUCCAUCCACUCCAUCUGAGGUUGACGAUCCUCUGUGACGAUUUGAAUCCCAUCGUUUAUUUCCAAAUUUCGCAGCAUGUUAGCCAUUUUUUCUGAGGGUUUCAUUACCUGCACUUUUCUCAAACCACUCAAAGACCAGAGUUCAUGUGGGAGAUCAUCUAACCUUUCACAAUCGUUGAUGAUCACACGUUGAAGCCUCGACAUUGCACCAUUGUCUAAUUUCCACUUUUCAAGCUUCAAAAAUUCCAUUUCAAACACUUCCAGUUGUGGGAAGCUGCCUCCCACACAAUUCAGGUCAAAAGAAUCUCUAUCAUAAAAUACAUUUCCUGAAAGUCUCAAAAUUUUGAGUUUGGUGUGAUUUUCCAAACCAUUCAUCCCCUCAUCAGUAAUGCAGUCAAUCUCUGACAAUGUUAACUCUGUAAUGUUUGGAGGAAAUGCAAUCUCGUGGGUUAGAAGGUCCAAAGCAUUCACAAUGCUUAAGACACUUAGACAAUUCAAUUGCCCCAGGUUUUGUAACAGUUCUUGCUUCUUGAAACCAUUGUUCCUUUCCACACUCUCAUCGACCGACUUCUCUACACUUCUAUCAAUCUUAUCUCGGAGGAAAAUCUCUAACUUAUUCAAAUGACUUAAUUGUUGUAGGCUCUGCAAUAAUUUGGGUAAUUCACCUUCACAUCCAAAAGCUAGUCUCAAUCCUAUCCUCUUAAGAUUGGGGAAUGUUCCUUUCCUUAUGAGAGAUAUUCCUUGCCUGUUAAGUAUAAGGGAAGAGAUGGUUUGAAGAUUCCACAUCUUCUCAUCUGUUCCUGAAUCUCUACCUCACAGCUCGAUAGGUCAUUGUGUAUUCAAAUGCCUUAAAUGUUUCAGUUUCCAAAUUUGGACAGGGAAAGAAAUUGGAAAGUCACGCCUCGAAGGACCUAGGUCUAUGGUUUGUAGAUUCCAAAGGUUAAGUAUUGAAGUUGGAACAAACAUAAGAUACUCUAUUUCUAUUCUCAAGUACCUUAAGUUGAUAAAGUUCCCCAAAUUGGAAGGGAUCUUAUCGCAACCGCUUAGUCCAAACUCCAACACGCGAACCAAUUUGAAGCCUUUUGAAAGCCAUUUCCAGUCUGUCUCGCGAACAUAGUAAAUUGGGCCCAAGAAGAAUAGGGAAGAGAUACACGAAUGGUCAUUGUUGCUUGAAGAAAUGUAGUGAUCCAUCUUACUAUGAAUGGAGAGUCUACGAGCUUUUGUCGGGAUUAGAAUCUUAUUAUCUGUGGAAACUUCAAAAACUUUGUCCUUUUUGCUCUCUGAUAUGCAGAGAUCUCGAAGAAGAUCAUGAACCUGACACAUCUUCAAACCUCCAUUAGUCUCCAAUUUUGCUACUUGGACCAAACUACGAUCGAUGAGCUCAUACAAGUAGUCUUCCGCAACAUCAUCUGGGUCUCUAUUCCCUGUAUCUUGUAUAAAACCCUCAGCAACCCAUUUUUGCAAUAAUGGCAUAACAGGGAUUUCAAUGUCUUCCGGAAAUAUCCCAAGAUAAAGAAAGCAUGGUUUUAAUCUCCUUGGCAAGUUGUCGUAGCUGAGUUUGAGAACAAUGUCCUUCACUUGGGUCUCAUCUUGAGUAAGAUACCAAUUAACAUGACCCACCACUUUUGACCAUUCCCUGUAUGACUUUUCCUUGUAGGUUAGCAGCCCUGCUAAGACAAUGAUGGAGAGCGGCAAACCACGACAACUUUGAACCAUUUGCUUUCCAAGAGCUUCCAAAUCAGAAGGGUAGUCUUCACCCCUAAACACUUUCCUACAAAACAACUCCCAACUUUCUUCUUCACUCAGGAACUGAAGAUAAUAAGGAAGAUCAUGGGAAGUAUGCAGUGCUACCUCUUUCAAACGACUAGUUAUCAAUAUUCUGCUGCCUCUAUUGUUGUCCGGAAAAGCAUCUUGCACCUCAUCCCAAUCUUGCCUUUUCCACAGGUCAUCUACCACCACAAGAUACCUUCUACUCUCCAACUUGUUCCGCACUAGUUUCUUCAGCUCCUCCUCACUCAAGUUACUACUAGCUCGAGUGCUUUUUUUACCUUUCUUCUUGUCUUUGCAUUGUUGUUCAAAAUUUGGCAUCA
rnacentral:lncRNA from 1 species